GAGGGAAUGCAUUUGGUUCCAACAAUUAUCCUCGGAAGAAAGGAAGGGGUUUUUUGAUGUUUAUGUGGGAUGCAUGCAAGGAUCUGACAUUGGUUAUUUUAAUGAUAGCUGCUGCGGCUUCAUUGGCAUUGGG